CUUGAAAUUGAAAAAAAUGGAAAGUCGCGCCCUUUUAUUUUUUUUAAAAACUUUCAAUUGGUAUUCCACUUGCUCGGUUUUCCUGUCCAGAUAUUUUAGGACUCAUGCCAACAAAAACUCCCUUUUCUUUUAGGAACAAGAGAGAGUAGUAUUUUUUUUCAAUUUGUCUUCUUUUAGGACCCAACUUUUCUUGUCCAGAAAUUUUAGGAUAUAAACUCCUCAAUCCUGAAAUUUGAGUUCUUCUCAAAGAGUGACAGCUCAAUGAAACCAUGUUGGGAACGAAUCAAACACUACCUUCGGUGGUCGAUAUAAGGACUCAUUCCGAUGCAUUAUAUUCACACCAACUCUUUCGAGUAUUUCCUUCCUUUAUAACUUUCCUGGCAGCUUGGAGAACUUGCAGGAGAAAAUUCAUAACUUGUUGUAGGAGCACCUGAAUCUUAACGGUUUGUGGAGCUGGAACGCAGACUCGUAGCACCUUGACAUAUCCGAAAAUCCUGAUCACAUAGCUCGUAGAUUUGUUUAGGAAUACCGAAAUCACAAACGGUUUAUGGCGCUGGAAAGUAGACUCGUGGAGCUUCGACAUGCUUAAAAAUCACGACCAGAAAGCUAAUAUAUUUAUCCAGGUAAUAUUCUGAAAUUCAGAGUUGCGAUCUUGCUAUAUUGCGUCUCCAGAUUUGCGCGCUCACUAGAUAGCUUGUAUCUUGACGUAGGCCCAAAAUCAAGCACUACUUGAUCAUUUGAAUUCUAAACUUCAGAGACUACUUUUACACCGAAUACUCGCACUUCAAUUCAUUGUGUGCUGGUUUCUAUGAUUUUUUUUAAAGUUAGCUGCAGGAUCUGAUUUUUCUGUUUCAAUUUUGGACAUGCUUCAUGAAUUUUAAUCUUUUUUCUCAAUUCCUUUCAUGCAACGUAUACAACCUUGACUUCUGGCAAUCAAGAUGCAAUUUUGUGACCAUAAUAAGCCACACCCUCAUCUUGAAAUCACGAGCGACGAGCAAAAUCAGUCCGAUAAAGUUCUCACCUUGAAAGUUCAUCCUCCAGUGAUCAGUUCCUUCCCUCGUGUUAGAAAGCUGCCUGCCACAUCUCUUCAUCUUACAGAAUGGUGGACAAGGGAGGCCAAAGAUGUUAUGGGCGAAUAUUUGGGCGAGGUCACUAGUGUAAGCACGUGAUUUUUGCCCUAUAUGAGAAAUACUCC